UAGGGAAUCUUCCGCAAUGGGCGAAAGCCUGACGGAGCAACGCCGCGUGAGUGAUGAAGGUCUUCGGAUCGUAAAACCCUGUUAUUAGGGAAGAACAAAUGUGUAAGUAACUAUGCACGUCUUGACGGUACCUAAUCAGAAAGCCACGGCUAACUACGUGCCAGCAGCCGCGGUAAUACGUAGGUGGCAAGCGUUAUCCGGAAUUAUUGGGCGUAAAGCGCGCGUAGGCGGUUUUUUAAGUCUGAUGUGAAAGCCCACGGCUCAACCGUGGAGGGUCAUUGGAAACUGGAAAACUUGAGUGCAGAAGAGGAAAGUGGAAUUCCAUGUGUAGCGGUGAAAUGCGCAGAGAUAUGGAGGAACACCAGUGGCGAAGGCGACUUUCUGGUCUGUAACUGACGCUGAUGUGCGAAAGCGUGGGGAUCAAACAGG
rnacentral:rRNA from 1 species